rnacentral:rRNA from 1 species
UGAGGAAUAUUGGUCAAUGGGCGAGAGCCUGAACCAGCCAAGUCGCGUGAGGGAAGACUGCCCUAUGGGUUGUAAACCUCUUUUGUAAGGGAAGAACCGACAUUACGUGUAAUGUUUUGCCAGUACCUUACGAAUAAGCAUCGGCUAACUCCGUGCCAGCAGCCGCGGUAAUACGUAGGUGGCGAGCGUUGUCCGGAAUUAUUGGGCGUAAAGGGAGCGUAGGUGGGAAAGUAAGUCUUGUUUAAAAGUGCGGAGCUCAACUCCGUAAAGGACAAGAAACUAUUUCUCUUGAGUGCAGGAGAGGGAAGUGGAAUUCCUAGUGUAGCGGUGAAAUGCGUAGAUAUUAGGAGGAACACCAGUGGCGAAGGCGACUUUCUGGACUGUAACUGACGUUGAGGCUCGAAAGCGUGGGGAGCAAACA